rnacentral:rRNA from 1 species
AUGAGAAUAUUAAAUUUAAGUAAAUUUUAAGAAAUAAAAUAUUAAAUUAUAAAGAAAAUAUUGAAUAAGAAAUUUAAAUUUUAAUAAUUAUUAUAUUUAAAGAUUAAUUAAUUUUUAGUAUCUUUUGUAUCAGGGUUAAUUAAAAAAUUUUAUUUAAAAAUAAAUUUUUCGAAUUUAAUUGAUUUAAAAUUUUAUUAAAGUUAAAAUAUUAAAUUUAUUUUAAAUAAAAUUUUAGAAAUUAAAUGUUAUUCGAAAUUAAAAAUAUCUAAUUUUUUAAUAAUUGAAUUUAAUUCAAAAAUUUUAUUAUAUUUAAAUUUUAAUUAAUAAAAAUAAGUUUAUAAAAAUUUAAAUAUUUUAAGGGUUAAACUUUAAAAUUAAUAAUUAAAAAUUUAAGGUGUAUAUUAUUUAUUAAAAAUAUAAUUUAAAAUUUUAUUUUUUUGAAAAAAUGUAAUAAUUUAUAAAAAUAUAAAUAAUUAAAAUUUAGUUUAAAUAUAUUUUAUAUAUAUAUAUAUAUAUAUAUAUAUAUAUAUAUAUAUAUAUAUAUAUAUUAUUAUUAUUAAAAUAUAAAUAAAAAUUUAAAAAAAUUUAAAAAUAAUGAUUAAAUUAGUAAAUUAAGAUUAAUUAAUAAAUUAAAGUUAAAAAUUAUAAAUAAUUUUAAAUAAUGAAUUUAGCAAAUUAAUAAUAUUUACCUGUUUAAUAAAAACAUGUCUUUAAAAUUAUUUUAUUUAAAGUCUAAUCUGCUCAAUGAAUAAAUAUUUAAAUAGCUGCAAUAUUUUAAUUGUGCUAAGGUAGCAUAAUAAUUUGUCUUUUAAUUAAAGAAUGGAAUGAAUGAUUUAAUAAAAUAUAAACUUUAUUAUUUAAAUUAGAAUUAAAUUUUAUUUUUAAGUAAAAAAUCUUAAAUAAUUUUAUUAGACGAAAAGACCCUAUAAAAUUUUAUAAAUUUAAUUAUUAUUAUAUAGUUAUUAAAUUUAUUUUUUUGGGGUGUAUAAAUAAAUUAAAAUAAUUUUAUUAAAAAUUUUUAUAUAAAUUUAUAAAUAUUAUAUAUAAAAGAUUGGUUAAUUUAUAUUAAUAGAUUAAAUUACUUUAGGGAUAACAGCAUAAUUUUUUUAAAGAGUUCUUAUUGAUAAAAAAGUUUAUGACCUCGAUGUUGAAUUAAAAUAAAUAUAAAAAGAAGAAUUUUUAAGAUUAAGUCUGUUCGACUUUUAAAAUUUUACAUGAUUUGAGUUAAAAUCGGUGUAAGCCAGAUUGGUUUCUAUCUAUAAAUUUAGUGAUUAAUUAUUUGUACGAAAGGACUUUAAUUAUAAAAUUGAAUAAAAUUUUAAAAUAGAAUUAAAUUAAAAUGAUAAAUAAAUUUAUUAAAA